UACGUAGGGUGCAAGCGUUGUCCGGAUUUAUUGGGCGUAAAGAGCUCGUAGGCGGUAUGUCACGUCGGAUGUGAAAAUCCAAGGCUCAACCUUGGACCUGCAUCCGAUACGGGCAAACUAGAGUGUGGUAGGGGAGACUGGAAUUCCUGGUGUAGCGGUGAAAUGCGCAGAUAUCAGGAGGAACACCAAUGGCGAAGGCAGGUCUCUGGGCCAUUACUGACGCUGAGGAGCGAAAGCGUGGGGAGCAAACAGGAUUAGAUACCCCCGUA
rnacentral:rRNA from 1 species